UCAAGUACCUUCGAGUUCCGGAUGAGGUAAUUUUUUUUUGUGUGUGUGUGUAUAUAUCUCUUGCUUGAUCUAGUUUUUUCUUUGUUCCCCUCUCUCUGGAAUGAUGAUGCUUAGCCAAAUCAGAUAUGUGCUCCAAGAGGCAUUUUUCUGUGGAACCUUGUUCAGCAGAUGGUGUGCCUCUUGUUGUAGUGCGUCUUAGACGAUAUCACAGGGAAUGGUUAUUGCUGACCAGAA
rnacentral:sRNA from 1 species